UAAUCUGUGUUAGAUAUUGUACUGGGGAGCAUAUAAUCUAACAAAUCGGUCUUUUACUACUUAAAAUAAGGUAUUAUUUACAUGAAAUCCAAACAAUUCCCACAUAUUUUAUCGAUUAAUCACUUUGAGAAUUGGAUAAACAUUGCCAUCCCAAUUUCCCAAAGUUGACCUGUUCAAAUUUCUUGUUUUGUCCAAAACAGAAAAUCCCACUACAAAACAAAGUAGUUUUCCCUUUUGU